rnacentral:rRNA from 1 species
CAGAACGAACGCUGGCGGCAUGGAUUAGGCAUGCAAGUCGAACGGUGCAGCAAUGCAUAGUGGCGGACAAGGGUGAGGAACGCGUGAGUAACCUGCCUCAAGUUGGGAACAGCUUCUGGAACGGAAAUUAAUACCGAAUGUGACCAUUGGAAGGCAUCUUCUGUUGGUUAAAGGCCGCAAGGUCGCUUGAGGAGGGGCUCGCGUCCCAUUAUGCUAGUUGGUGAGGUAACGGCCACCAAGGCGAAGAUGGGUAGCUGGUCUGAGAGGACGAUCAGCCACACUGGGACUGAGAACUGCCCAGACUCCUACGGGAGGCUGCAGUCGAGAAUUUUGGGCAAUUGGACGAAAGUCUGGACCCAGCAAAUGCCGCGUGCGGGAUGAAGGUCUUCGGAUUGGUAAACCGCUGUCAAGUGGGACGAAACAAAUGACGGUACCGCUGAAGGAAGUCACGGCUAACUACGUGCCAGCAGCAGC